GAGUUUGAUCCUGGCUCAGGACGAACGCUGGCGAGAUCGGAAUUCCUGGUGUAGCGGUGAAAUGCGCAGAUAUCAGGAGGAACACCGGUGGCGAAGGCGGAUCUCUGGGCCGAUACUGACGCUGAGGAGCGAAAGCGUGGGGAGCGAACAGGAUUAGAUACCCUGGUAGUCCACGCCGUAAACGUUGGGAACUAGGUGUGGGCGACAUUCCACGUCGUCCGUGCCGCAGCUAACGCAUUAAGUUCCCCGCCUGGGGAGUACGGCCGCAAGGCUAAAACUCAAAGGAAUUGACGGGGGCCCGCACAAGCGGCGGAGCAUGUGGCUUAAUUCGACGCAACGCGAAGAACCUUACCAAGGCUUGACAUACACCGGAAACACCCCGAGACGGGGGCCCCCCUGUGGUGGGGGUACAGGGGGUGCACGGCGGUCUUCAGCUCGUGUCGUGAGAUGUUGGGUUAAGUCCCGCAAAGAGCGCAACCCCUGUUUUGUGUUGCCACCACGUCCCUUCGGGGAUGGUGGGGACUCACAGGAGACUGCCGGGGUCAACUCGGAGGAAGGUGGGGACGACGUCAAGUCAUCAUGCCCCUUAUGUCUUGGGCUGCACACGUGCUACAAUGGCCGGUACAAUGAGCUGCGAUACCGCGAGGUGGAGCGAAUCUCAAAAAGCCGGUCUCAGUUCGGAUUGGGGUCUGCAACUCGACCCCAUGAAGUCGGAGUCGCUAGUAAUCGCAG
rnacentral:rRNA from 1 species